rnacentral:rRNA from 1 species
GACCUGGUACGGGGUCCGCCUUCACGGUGUGUACUGCUGGACCGGGUUCUACCUCUUGGUGAGCCGGCAUGCCCUUCACUGGGUGUGUCGGGGAACCAGGACUUUUACCUUGAGAAAAUUAGAGUGUUCAAAACAGGCCUACGCCCGAAUACAUUAGCAUGGCAUAAUAAAAUAGGACGUGCGGUUCUAUUUUGUUGGUUUCUAGAGUCGCCGUA